rnacentral:rRNA from 1 species
CGUGGAUAGCCUGCCUCACACAGGGGGAUAACAGUUAGAAAUGACUGCUAAUACCGCAUAAGCGCACGGCAUCGCAUGAUGCAGUGUGAAAAACUCCGGUGGUGUGAGAUGGAUCCGCGUCUGAUUAGGUAGUUGGUGGGGUAACGGCCCACCAAGCCGACGAUCAGUAGCCGACCUGAGAGGGUGACCGGCCACGUUGGGACUGAGACACGGCCCAG